rnacentral:rRNA from 1 species
UAGUCCACGCCGUAAACGAUGUCAACUAGUUGUUGGGAGCAUCUUGGCUCUUAGUAACGUAGCUAACGCGAUAAGUUGACCGCCUGGGGAGUACGGCCGCAAGGUUAAAACUCAAAGGAAUUGACGGGGUCCGCACAAGCGGUGGAGCAUGUGGUUUAAUUCGAUGCAACGCGAAGAACCUUACCAGGUCUUGACAUCCUGAAAACUUUCUAGAGAUAGAUUGGUGCCUUCGGGAAUUCAGUGACAGGUGCUGCAUGGCUGUCGUCAGCUCGUGUCGUGAGAUGUUGGGUUAAGUCCCAUAACGAGCGCAACCCCUAUUCUUAGUUGCCAGCGAGUAAUGUCGGGGACUCUAGGAAAACUGCCAGUGUAAGCUGUGAGGAAGGUGGGGAUGACGUCAAAUCAUCACGGGCCCUUACGUCCUGGGGCUACACACGUGCUACAAUGGGUCGGUACAGAGGGGCAGCUACCCAGUGAUGGGGAUGGCAAAUCUCUAAAGCCGGG